rnacentral:rRNA from 1 species
ACUGCCAGUGACAAACCGGAGGAAGGCGGGGACGACGUCAAGUCAUCAUGGCCCUUACGGCCAGGGCUACACACGUGCUACAAUGGUCGGUACAAAGGGUUGCUACCUCGCGAGAGGAUGCUAAUCUCAAAAAGCCGAUCGUAGUUCGGAUCGCAGUCUGCAACUCGACUGCGUGAAGUCGGAAUCGCUAGUAAUCGCGGAUCAGAAUGCCGCGGUGAAUACGUUCCCGGGCCUUGUACACACCGCCCGUCACACCAUGGGAGUUUGUGCACCAGAAGUAGGUAG